GUAGGUGGCAAGCGUUGUCCGGAAUUAUUGGGCGUAAAGCGCGCGCAGGGCGGUCCUUUAAGUCUGAUGUGAAAGCCCACGGCUCAACCGUGGAGGGUCAUUGGAAACUGGGGGACUUGAGUACAGAAGAGGAAAGCGGAGUUCCAAGUGUAGCGGUGAAAUGCGUAGAGAUUUGGAGGAACACCAGUGGCGAAGGCGGCUUUCUGGUCUGUAACUGACGCUGAGGCGCGAAAGCGUGGGGAGCAAACAGGAUUAGAUACCCUGGUAGUCCACGCCGUAAACGAUGAGUGCUAAGUGUUAGGGGGUUUCCGCCCCUUAGUGCUGCAGCUAACGCAUUAAGCACUCCGCCUGGGGAGUACGGCCGCAAGGCUG
rnacentral:rRNA from 1 species